GUGGGGAAUAUUGGGCAAUGGGCGAAAGCCUGACCCAGCAACGCCGCGUGAGGGAAGAAGGCCUUCGGGUUGUAAACCUCUGUCCUUGGUGACGAAAAAAAUGACGGUAGCCAAGGAGGAAGCCCCGGCUAACUACGUGCCAGCAGCCGCGGGAAUACGGAGGGGGCGAGCGUUGUCCGGAAUUACUGGGCGUAAAGGGUGCGUAGGUGGCCUUUUAAGUUGGAUGUGAAAUCCCCGGGCUUAACGUGGGUGGUGCAUCUAAUACUGGAGGGCUAGAGUGCAGGAGAGGGAAGCGGAAUUACUAGUGUAGCGGUGAAAUGCGUAGAUAUUAGGAGGAACACCAGUGGCGAAGGCGGCUUUCUGGACUGUAACUGACACUGAGGCACGAAAGCGUGGGGAGCAAACAGGAUUAGAAACCCGUGUAGUCC
rnacentral:rRNA from 1 species